AUUUGAUACCUGCAUUUUCAAAAGCAUUUCAAGAAAGAACAGACGAUCGACUUUUAAAAUUUGUAGUCUAAAAUACGUACGCUUAUGUAUAUAUUUGUGUGACUUACUGACAUAUCUUUUUAUAACAUCAUUGUUUAUUCUAGAUAUUUUUUGUCUGCUAUAGUGAAAUAUUGUUCGUAAAGAACAUAUACUGCAUGACUUUAACAUAACAUGAAACACUACAUUAG
rnacentral:misc_RNA from 1 species